rnacentral:rRNA from 1 species
AUUCGAUUACCGCGAAGAACCUUACCUACCCUUGACAUGUCUGGAAUUCUGAAGAGAUUCGGAAGUGCUCGCAAGAGAACUGGAACACAGGUGCUGCAUGGCUGUCGUCAGCUCGUGUCGUGAGAUGUUGGGUUAAGUCCCGCAACGAGCGCAACCCUUGUCAUUAGUUACUACGAAAGGGCACUCUAAUGAGACUGCCGGUGACAAACCGGAGGAAGGUGGGGAUGACGUCAAGUCCUCAUGGCCCUUAUGGGUAGGGCUUCACACGUCAUACAAUGGUCGGGACAGAGGGUCGCCAACCCGCGAGGGGGAGCCAAUCCCAGAAACCCGAUCGUAGUCCGGAUCGCAGUCUGCAACUCGACUGCGUGAAGUCGGAAUCGCUAGUAAUCGCGGAUCAGCAUGUCGCGGUGAAUACGUUCCCGGGCCUUGUACACACCG